rnacentral:rRNA from 1 species
GAUGAACGCUGGCGGCGUGCCUAAUACAUGCAAGUCGAGCGAACAGACGAGGAGCUUGCUCCUCUGACGUUAGCGGCGGACGGGUGAGUAACACGUGGAUACCCUACCUAUAAGACUGGGAUAACUUCGGGAAACCGGAUCUAAUACCGGAUAAUAUAUUGAACCGCAUGGUUCAAUAGUGAAAGACGGUUUUGCUGUCACUUAUAGAUAGAUCCGCGCCGCAUUAGCUAGUUGGUAAGGUAACGGCUUACCAAGGCAACGAUGCGUAGCCGACCUGAGAGGGUGAUCGGCCACACUGGAACUGAGACACGGUCCAGACUCCUACGGGAGGCAGCAGUAGGGAAUCUUCCGCAAUGGGCGAAAGCCUGACGGAGCAACGCCGCGUGAGUGAUGAAGGUCUUCGGAUCGUAAAACUCUGUUAUUAGGGAAGAACAAAUGUGUAAGUAACUAUGCACGUCUUGACGGUACCUAAUCAGAAAGCCACGGCUAACUACGUG